AGCAGCUUUGUCAUGCAUUGGUAUUAUAAGAAUCAAGAGAAUAUUUGACCGUAAGUAUUAUUGGAAACUAUUUAAAUAAUAAUUGGUACAUUUAUUGUUUUGUGUGUGUGUGUGUGAGAGAGAGAGAGAGAGAGAAUGCUGCUAAUUCUGUUAUGUAUUUUUUAUGUGGUGAAAAUAUUUUUCUCAAAGAUUUGAAGCAUUAUGAAUAUUAAAAGUGUUUGAUAAAAUGUUGCCUUCUAUUCCAAACAGGAAUGCUUCCGUUCCGGGUUCCAGCCAGCCAUGCCCCUAUUCCGGAUACCAGAAGCCAAUAGAAGCUCAAGUCAGUCAACAGAGUAGCGGGUGGCACAGGAAGAGGAGAGACAGAUGAGAAGCAGAGGAGACCAAGAAGACAAAUAAAUUGCAGAAGAAGUUUAAAGAAUGGAAAGGGGAAGAGAGACAGAAAGGAAAUGACCAAACAGAAAAUAAAAAUGGGAAUAUUUCUGAUCCUAA